rnacentral:rRNA from 1 species
AAAUUGAAGAGUUUGAUCAUGGCUCAGAUUGAACGUUGGCGGCAGGCCUUAGACAUGCAAGUCGAACGGUAACAGCAGAGCUUGCUCUGGCUGACGAGUGGCGGACGGGUGAGUAACGCGUAGGAAUCUACCCAGUAGCGGGGGAUAGC